rnacentral:rRNA from 1 species
GACUCGUCACACUAUCAUUAACUGAAUCCAUAGGUUAAUGAGGCGAACCGGGGGAACUGAAACAUCUAAGUACCCCGAGGAAAAGAAAUCAACCGAGAUUCCCCCAGUAGCGGCGAGCGAACGGGGAGGAGCCCAGAGCCUGAAUCAGCAUGUGUGUUAGUGGAAGCGUCUGGAAAGGCGCGCGAUACAGGGUGACAGCCCCGUACACAAAAGCGCAUGUGCUGUGAGCUCGAUGAGUAGGGCGGGACACGUGGUAUCCUGUCUGAAUAUGGGGGGACCAUCCUCCAAGGCUAAAUACUCCUGACUGACCGAUAGUGAACCAGUACCGUGAGGGAAAGGCGAAAAGAACCCCGGCGAGGGGAGUGAAAAAGAACCUGAAACCGUGUACGUACAAGCAGUGGGAGCCCCACCACUAAGCCAGUGGUGAACUCCACAUACGCAUCCUUUGCUGAGGAUACGGUUAACGGAGCGAAAGCGACGUUCAACCGCAAAAGAAGCAGAGGGGGCUUAGUGGUGGGGUGACUGCGUACCUUUUGUAUAAUGGGUCAGCGACUUAUAUUCUGUAGCAAGGUUAACCGUAUAGGGGAGCCGGAGGGAAACCGAGUCUUAAUUGGGCGUUAAGUUGCAGGGUAUAGACCCGAAACCCGGUGAUCUAGCCAUGGGCAGGUUGAAGGUUGGGUAACACUAACUGGAGGACCGAACCGACUAAUGUUGAAAAAUUAGCGGAUGACCUGUGGCUGGGGGUGAAAGGCCA